GCGGCAGCAGCCUGCCUGCGCUCAGGGUUUACUACACCAUAGACAGGUGUGACUUCAACUGAAUGAGGAGUGAAUGAGAAUUACACAAACCAGCCUGUAUAGCUUAUCCUGAGCUCUGUGAGGUGUCAGCUGCCUCUCAGCCGUCUGUCCACUCCACUUUCAAUCCAUUCAGAAGUUUAAAAUCUUUGUUGGCAACUUGAGAGAGCACUGUUCUGAUAGACCUCUUGUAUCUGUGAUGAUACAUUAGGGUCUGCAUUGAAAUAGCAGCUAUGGAAAGAAGCAUGAAUUUUGACGAGAUUCUUUCUCAUAUCGGUGGCUUUGGCAAGUUCCAGAAGAUCUUGUAUGUGUGGAUUUGCCUCCCCCAGGUCCUGCUGGCGUUCCACAUGCUGAUAUCGGUCUUCACGGGGGCCGUCCCCCCUCAUCUCUGUCGCUCCAACAACACCACCUGGGCCUUGCCCGCCAGCUCAGACGCAUUCAACUUCAGCCUGGUUAUGGGCCCAGACGGUGACCCUGACCUGUCCUGCUCUGCCCCUGGGGGGGUCCCUAGCACCCCGCUAGCCCAGUUGAAUCACAGCACCGCCCUGGCCCUUAGCGAUGACCACGUCACCGGGGUUUGUCAAGGGGGAUGGGAAUUCAGCAAAGAGACCUUCCACAGCACCGUGGCAACCGAGUGGGAUCUGGUGUGUGAUAAUGCCAAUCUGAACAACAUUGGUUCCUCAAUCUACAUGUUUGGUCUUCUGGUCGGCGCCGUGCUGUUUGGUUCCUUAGCUGAUAAGUUUGGACGCAGGAACAUCAUCCUGGUUGGUUUGACUAUCCAGUCAACCUUUGGGGUUGGUGCUGCUUUUGCCCCAAAUUUCUACAUUUAUGUCUUUCUGCGCUUUGUGGUUGGAACAACUAUUUCAGCUGUCAUCAUGAACGCAUUUGUUUUAGGCACAGAGUGGACAGGAUCAAAGCACCGGAUGCUAGCUGGGAUCAUCACAGACUACUUCUUUGGGUUCGGCUACAUCACCCUGGCAGGCCUGGCCUACCUCAUCAGAGACUGGCGUAAGCUCCAACUGGCCAUCUCAGCACCAGGCUUCCUCUUCAUCUUCUACAUCUGGGUCCUACCCAAGUCGGCUCGGUGGCUAAUGGCCAACCAGAGGAACGAGGAGGCCAUGGAUCUGAUCAGGAAAGCUGCUCUGAUGAACGGCAAACCCCUGCAGGAGGACAUAGAGAUACGUCAGGGGUACAACGAUAUGGUGAAGAUGGAGGAGAGGAAAAAGGACACAGUCAUUGACCUGGUCCGUACGCCAAAAAUGAGGAGGAAUUCAUGUAUCAUGUUUUACCUGUGGUUUGUCAACGUGCUGGUCUACUAUGGCCUGUCCCUGAACAUCUCUGACUUUGGGAUGAACAUCUACCUGACCCAGCUGAUCUUUGGCCUGGUGGAGAUGCCCGCCAGGACCAUCACCCUCUUUACCCUGAACCGCUCCAGGAGGAUAUCCCAGCUAGCCUUCCUCGCUGUGGGAGGCCUGGCCUGCCUGCUAACCAUCUUCAUUCCUGAUGAUCUCUCCAUUAUUAGAACUGUCCUGGCUAUGGUGGGGAAGUUUGGGAUCACCGCCUCAUUAUCCAUCGUCUACGUCUACUCAGCAGAGGUCUUCCCUACUGUCAUAAGGCAGAGUGGAAUUGGUAUGAGCUCCAUGUGUGCCAGGGCAGGGGGAGUCCUGGCUCCCAUCAUCUACUUGCUGAGGGGUGUCAGUAAGAAUGCUCCCAUGGUGCUGUUUGGCCUGUGUACUCUGCUAGGUGCAGCCCUCACCCUGCUGCUGCCUGAGACAGCCCACCAGCCCCUGGCUGACACCAUUGAGGAUGUGGAGGGAUCCAGCAUCAGUGAGGAAUCAGAGGAAGGGAACAUGAAGCCAGCCUUCUAUGAGGAAUGUCCAACAAGGAACCCAGACAUCCUAAUCUGAAGAACCAGGAGUGGGACAAGGCACCAGUCCACUGAUACUUUGAGACCUGUGGUCCUGUCAUCUGGAGAACUUCUAAUACCAUUCCUCCAAGGAACUCAACUGUGCGUUGUAAGAUAUCUGCUAAGAGUGUUUGACCAAAUUUGUAGCUUGUAAAGUUAUUUCCUAUUUUGUACAUAAGACAUUGAUGUCACUGAACUGACAUUUUAUACCGUUUUAUUUUAUAUUUAAACAUUUUUCUAUUGUUUUGAAAAUAUGUACUAUAUGUUGAUGUUUUAUAGUGACUAUCAGUUCACAUUUAGAUUGAUGAUGAAGUACAUUAGUAACAGUUUAUUUAUGCAUCAAAUAUCCAUUUAUCAGAUUCUGAAAAUACUGUCAAGGACACACCAUUGUUUGGUGCCAAUAGCCUUGUGCUCUUUUUAUCCACAUUUCUUUGAUGGUGCAUCCCUCUUCCUGGACUGGAACUCACUCCCAUCCUGUCCCUGUCUGUUAUCUAGUAAGUCUUCCUGAAUGUCUGUCUUGUCUGACUAGGCACCCCUACAGUACUGUUCAUACCUAACAGGUUCACCUUAAGAUGUUAGCUCAGUUUCAGCCAACGAAUGCCGUCAUCGUGCAUUGUGAUUUUGUAUAAAGUGACCACACUGUGAAUGAGCAUAGAUGACAACUUAUGCAAACUAUCACACGUAUGCAAGAUGAAUAGCUAAAUAUGUUUUUCUAUUUGAAGAUAGAAUUUUGUUUACUUGACGGAUUCUAUAUUAGACAUUCCUAACUCUACAUUUAGAAGUGAAUGUGUUUGAAGUUGAUGUUGGUCUGUGAUCAUGAUGAGUUUUUUAAAAGUGUGCACUCUCUAGAACAGCAGGCUUAUAGGACAACUGCUCCACAUAAUGCUUGUUAGAAAAUCAUGCUGAAAUUCUAGCCAUCUGCUGGUGCCCAUGUAACGGAGCCCAUGUAACGGAGCCCAUGUAACGGAGCCCAUGUAACGGAGCCCAUGUAACGGUUAAGAACAUACCGUUCACUCCACAGCAAACUUCAAAUGUCAAGGAUGGGAGCUAUAGAAUAAGAUCAUUUCCAGUGGAAUGUUGUCAAGGAGGAUUGUGACGUGUGUUGCGAAGCAGAGGAUCACUGGUUCAAGCCCAGUAUGGGGCAGUCAGACACUGGAGGAAGCUAAGCUGUUAGAAGCACACUGACCCCCGGUACAGCCAGUGUCGGCUCCAAGAUUACCCAGUUAAAGGUCUCUAUAGGGUCAGCAGAUGACAAGACAGAGAUGCCCUUAUUCAAGACAAGGAUGCCCUUAUACAAGACAAAGAUGGAUGGACUGAAUCAUAAAGAGUUAUGACAGUGUUACUCCAAGUUAGGAAACCCUCUCUUCAAACAUGAAGUUUACAUUCCACAUUUACAUUACAUUAUUAACAUUUCAGCUGAAGGCUUUCAUUCUGAGUGCUUACAGUCAGUAUAUAAAGUACAUUAUAAACUGGGUGGUCCGAGCCCUGAAUGCUGAUUGUCUGACAGCUGUGGUAUAUUAGACCUUAUACCACGGGUAUGACAAAACAUUUUUACUGCUCUAAUUACGUUGGUAAACAGUUUAUACUAGCAAUAAGGUACCUUGUGGGUUUGUGGUAUAUGGCCAAUAUAUCACGGCCAAGGGCUGUAUCCAGGCAUUCCUCGUUGCAUCGUGCGUAUGAACAGCCCUUAGCCGUGGAAUAUUGGCCAUAUACCACACCCCCUCGUGCCUUAUUGCUUAAUUGAACCGCAGCAGUAACACCAGAGAGACUGAUCCGAGUUUGAGAUCUUUCACAUCAGAGAGAAAUAGAAGAAUAGAGAAGAAUAGAAGACUGUUGUGAUGACAUGCUCUCUCUGUGGUACUUUGGGUGGAUCUUAUUAUUUUUAUGGCAGUGGAUGAUUUGACAGGCAUCAAUUGUUCCCCUGUCAUUGUAAGGCUUAGGAGAGCAAAGCCGCACAUUCUUGUUUUGGAUGAAACACAGGGUUUGCCUUACAGUCAUGUAACCAAACGACUGUAAUAGGCCUAUAUGUUUAGUAACAGUAGUCAACAGGAGUCCGAUCUGUUGUGUUAGUGAUCACUGCCACUCUCUGGAUGAAAGUGGUACUUGCUUCUUGUCUGACAUCAGCUGCUGUAUAUACGGUAAGUACUGUAAAGGGGCACAAGCAUGAUGACCACAGAGAUUGUGUUACAACAUAUGCAUUUCCUGAUUCUGUAGCAUCAGUACUUUUAUACAAAUGUAUUACAAAUUUACAAAAUCAAAGUAAAAUUGGGAAGUUAUCCAUGAUGUGAUAUUAACACAUUUCAUUUGUACAAUAUUGUUCUGCUUAAACAAUGUUUGCUAUGCUGUGUGUCAUUUCAAAAAGGCCUAUAGUAAAUUUUGAGGGGCAGCACAGGGGCUCAUAAGAUGCCAGUGUUAAUAGACUUGUUUUUGGGGAUCAACUGCAGGUUGAUGCUGUCUGACUGACUGAGUAUCUGGCACAUAUGGCUGUCAAUGAGUCGCUGCCCAGGGGACAUUAGCAACAACUGGUAUUUCAAUUAGACUACAACAGAGGAUCCCAAGAACAGCUGCAAGUACCCACUGACCAUCCCCCCACCACACUACAGCCAGAGAGAGCUGUUGUACUGUAUUUUGUCUGUGAAAGCUUUGACUUAAUAUUUAACAGUUGAAGUGGCAUUGUCUAUGAUGUGGAAUGUACAUUAGGCUUACUGUCAUUGUACAGCCCAGAUGUGAAAAGAUGCAUUGUAAAAAAAUGACAGAGACGCUAGUGUGAAACAAGUGUACAGCUGUAGGCACACAUCUCCUUAGAAUAUCAUGCCUGCACUGACAUUUGUUCUGGUACUAUGCCGAGAAUGUAUCAACAGUGUCCUGGGCUCAUUUGUCAUUUUUUUAAAGGUACAUUUACAGUGUGGAAUUACAGUGAAGUGAAAUUAUUAGGAGUAUGCACAGACCUUUUUUCAUUCCACUUGGACUAUGCAAUUACGUGCCAGAGCUCUGUUUCUAGAGUAUAGACCAUAGUGCCUAUUUCAUUGACAUUGGCAUCAAAUUGAAAAACAGAUGUUUUAUAAGUGUGACUCUGUUUCCAUAUCUGAUCUCACUGGUAUUUGAAUAAUCCAGAUCUAAUUUCCUGAAUUCUAUGAAGGUAUAAUGAGAGAUAACUAGGGAGCAGUUUGAGUAAUACGAACUGGUAGUUGUUGGCAGCAGAGGGCGCCCCAACGCAAUGAUUAUUAGCCUGCACUGUCAACGCGAGAAAUCAUUGAUUGAAUUCCAAAAUCUUUGACUCAAUCGCACUGAUGAUGAUGAUGAUGAUGAUGAUCAUCACAAAACUUUGUCCCACAAUACAAUGUACACAUUUUCCGUGUUCUGAGCAGUUCUUUUUCUGUUAGUCUAUCGUCUCAACUAUAGAAGUAUCUAACAUUUGCUAUUCGUGCAGGCAUGUAUGUUAAUUGGGCACACACUUUUCUAAAGAACUGAUGCAGUUGUCAAUUAAAACAUCACAUUUUUCCAUCCCUAUCAUGUGAAGAAGGCCUACUUCAUCCCUCCAUCUAUUGAUGAACAUUCAUUAAGGGCAACCAUGUCUUGACUUAGUCUAGACCCAAAAUGAAUCUCAUGUCAUGGAAAUACCUCUUUCGCAAUAGUCUCGCAACCUCAAUAAUCUUCUAAAUGCCUAGCCUACUGACUUUAUUACUACCGAACCUGUUUACGAUCCCCUGUUCCUCACUACUAGUAGCAUCCUCCCAUUCUAUUGGCUGGUGAUGUUGUCAAUCACUCCACUGGUCCCGUUAGUUUCAUUGUGGCCCUGCAAAGACAACGCCAUCAUACCCCAUACUCAGCAGCUAUAGCGAGCGGGGCAGCUCGAAUAUCACACAGGAUUUAUGUAGGCUAUAAGGUUAUUAUUGUCACAAAAACAUCAAGCGUCUCAUCUUCAACUGCAAUGGAAUACAUUCGUCCGGUUAAUUAGACGCCUUCGAAUCGGGCCUCUGUUUUCGCAGUACACAAAGCAAUGUGGAGCAAA